CGCUUCGUUUCCUGUCGAGCGAUUCACGCACGGAGUCCUCGCGAGUCGCCCUCGCCCAGCCGCCCACUUGCCUGAUUGAAAUUUGGAAAUUUGGAUCCCUAAUUCCCAAAUCACGCAAGGUCAUAGUCUCCUAGAGAGUUGGAGACGGAGGCACAGGAUAGAUCAAAGUCGACAAGGAGGAAAUCGAGAUUCAGGAAGAGAUCAAGAUCAACAGACAACAGCUGCAUCCAUUCAUUUGCUACAACGUUCAGUGUCCAGUGUCCUCUCUUUUUUUAUUAUAAUCAUGUUGCCUAAGAAGCAUUAUCUGGUUGUUAAAAAAACAAUCAAGAAGAAACAAGUACAGAAGUUUAUUGGGACUCAGAAAUGGGCUAUGAAUAAAUUUGUGGUGAGAAACAAGUACAGAAGUUUAUUGGGACUCAGAAACAAGUAAUCAGCAAUGUCUUAAGAAAGGCUAAAUGGUUUGGUCAUGUGUUGCAUCGAGAAGAAUAGUUUGGAUAACAUUGAUCUUGACACUGUCAUGAAUGACUUUGCCUCAGAAAAAGCACGGAAGUCUCGUUUCUCCUGAAGUCAUAAUUACUGGAGGCUUGGAGGUCUGGUUUGUUAGCAUGCUAUUUCUCUUUAUUUUUACGGGUUGUAGCUUUCUAUUAUACUUGGUUUGGAACACAUGCAAGAAAUAUUAUCAGAUAUUUGACUCUGAUGAAAAAUUGUUAGUCUUUAUGACUUCAAUUUUUUUUAUCCAUUCAUGUAUCAAAUAGGAUUUUUCUCUCUAUUGGGCCCAUUGGUGGAGUCCGCCCUAGGGCCUUUGAAAUCCUAGAGCCGGCCCUGGCUGCGCUCCGGCACUCACCGAGCCGUAGCUCUUCGGGCGUUAGAAUCCUGGCCUUGUGGUCGGUGACGAGCUCGUCCGUGGUGCACGGUGGAUUGAUGGUGAGGCGGCCCGGCGGGCGCGCAGUCAAAGAGGAGACGAGCGCCGUGAGGCGUCAGCCGGAGAUGCAGAGAAUCAACACUGGAACAAGGAUAACAGCUUGGUCAGGUGGAUUUAUCUCGUCAAGGAAGACUGUUAUCUCCACAUAAUACACUGCAACCACGGUAUACUGGAGGAGGAGACACACACGGUAUUAUCUAUACUGUUGAUCCGGUUUCACCGGUACAAAUAGAUUACUACCCUUAGAUCUUUGCCAAUGGACGGUCUGUAUUCAGUAUAAGGUAUCAUAGAAGAGGUCAUAUUUUAAGGUACUUCAUGGAUACCAAAUUUUUCCCUCGCGUUGAAAUUUUUCUUUUUGGGUCCGGGGCUUGCUCCGAUCGCUACCAACAGAAGAGAAAAUGGCUCUGGGAAUCUGCCAAGUUGGUGUCAUGUGCAUCAGUGUGGCCGUUGCAUAUAUGUGUAUGUGCUGCGUGCUGAUUAGCUGUCGAGUGUGACCCACAUGUCUUUGUGUGAUUUAGCAGGAAACUAGAGAUGGUAGCUCUCAGCACAAGGGAGAUGCGCGUCUAACUGAAAGCUCCUUGAGAGACAAGAGGGACUACUGUUUGCGCUUCAUUUUUGUACUGCAAGAAAAACAGUGGCCGUUGGUGCUACCAGAAAAACAAUGGCUGUCACUUGUGGUGAAAGCUCUAGCUAGCUCUUCAUCCAUUGUAUUACCUUCGUCCCAUAUUACUCGUCUUACGGUUGUCUAGAUACAGAUAGCGUGUAUCUUACAUUUGUCUACAUACACAUACGUCUAAGAUACAUCUGUAUCUAGACAAAUCAAAGACGAGUAAUUCAGAACGAAGAUAGUACGUACUCCCUCCGUCCCAAAAUAAGUGUCUUAAGCUUAGUAUAAUUUUAUACUAGAGCUAGUACAAAGUUGAGACAGUUAUUUUGGGACGGAAGGAGUAGUAUUUAUUGUAGAAUAUUUCAGACCUCAUCAUAAACAUGCACGUCCUUUUUUGAUGCUAAAGCAUCAUCAUUCAGCUUGACAGAAAAACAAAAACAACACAAUGUUGCCGUGUUUCAGCCACGGGGAAAUCAAGAGGAGCUUCUUGGAAGCAGUAACUGUCGGCAUGUAGAAUUUGCUGAAAGCCCAACCAUAAGGCACAGCAUGACA